rnacentral:tRNA from 1 species
GGCCCCGUAGCGCAGCGGUAGCGCAGGUGCCUUUUAAGCACUUGGUCGCAGGUUCGAAUCCUGCCGGGGUCAC